rnacentral:rRNA from 1 species
AUUGAACGCUGGCGGCAGGCUUAACACAUGCAAGUCGAGCGGGGGAAGGUAGCUUGCUACCGGACCUAGCGGCGGACGGGUGAGUAAUGCUUAGGAAUCUGCCUAUUAGUGGGGGACAACAUCUCGAAAGGGAUGCUAAUACCGCAUACGUCCUAUGGGAGAAAGCAGGGGAUCUUCGGACCUUGCGCUAAUAGAUGAGCCUAAGUCGGAUUAGCUGGUUGGUGGGGUAAAGGCCUACCAAGGCGACGAUCUGUAGCGGGUCGGAGAGGAUGAUCCGCCACACUGGGACUGAGACACGGCCCAGACUCCGACGGGAGGCAGCAGUGGGGAAUAUUGGACAAUGGGGGGAACCCUGAUCCAGCCAUGCCGCGUGUGUGAAGAAGGCCUUAUGGUUGUAAAGCACUUUAAGCGAGGAGGAGGCUACUUUAGUUAAUACCUAGAGAUAGUGGACGUUACUCGCAGAAUAAGCACCGGCUAACUCUGUGCCAGCCGCCGCCGUAA